CGCGGAUAACACGCCCCGAUACGAAAGUUGACCCACUGGAGGAUACGGCUAUGGAUCUUCCACCCAUGGCAAAAGAAAUAUGAAUUUCUGUUUCUGUUUUUACUGGCGCAAAUACCUCCCAUUUCUGUGGAAUCAUUCUAUCUGCUGACCGCCAUGAUGUACGGCUUAGAAUUCGAAAGCUUUGUUAUAUAUCUUCUGCCUCUUGGAAUUUUGAUCUACAUCGAUCUGGUUGUAUGCUCAUAUUUCUAUGAGCUGAAAAGUCUUAAAAGGCUGAGAGCUGUGUCCGAAUUUAACAUAGAAUAUUGAAAGCAUUUUGCCAAUUUAGCAGCCAUUAUAAAUUAGUUUGGCGUCCUCCGCAUAUAUAUAUUUUUAUAUUUUAUAUGACUUAAGAUCAUAUGCCACUUUUUCCGGUAGAACACACAGACGACAGCGAUAAGGUUGGAUGACUUGAGAGCAGGAAAACAUGUCAAGAAAUAAAAACAAAAAUGAUUUAUCAUAAUGGGAGUUGGAGUCUGACUCGGGGUCCAAUUCGGAAUUGGAAUUGGGGUUGGAGUCGGACUUGUAGUUGGAGUUGGAGUCUGUGCUCCCAGCGGCGUUGCCUAAACGGGCGAUAACGGCCAAGACGAAGACCAAAGUCGAGGACGGCAUGCGGCUGCUGAUGGCGACGAACGUGGAGAUAUCGGGCCAAGAACGGUGCGUCUGGAUGUCAACUCUUCAUAUAAAAAUUAACGAAAUAUAAAUUAAAAAAUAUGCCCUACCUCUUCGCUGGGCGAUGAAAUAAAAACCAGAAAUAUUCGUUUCGGCUGCGCUCGUUCUCUGUACGCUUUUUGUUUUCUUCCCUCUUUCCCUUCAGACCGGCGAUUUACGAGUAUGUCCCCUCUGGUUUCGAGUUACGCCUGCGCGACAUUGUUGCUGAUACACAGGAAAAAAACCAUAUGUGAUUGCAGGGG
rnacentral:misc_RNA from 1 species